rnacentral:misc_RNA from 1 species
GGAACUUUCUGAUCAUUUCACUUCACUUGAACAAGAUAUCCUCAAAAAGUCGGAAGCUUUGAAAGCUAAAAUCCAAACUUUGGAUUCCGAAACUAAAGCAUCUCUUGAAGUUCUGGAACAGCGUGAGACUUCAAUGAAUGUUUCACUUUCAAUUGCUUUGCAGAAAGUUGUUGAGAACAAAAGAGCUGCUAUUUUGGCUUUGGAUGAAGGUGUGGAGCAGCCAGAAGUUGAUGAUUCUACUGGAUUGUUGUUAAAAUUGAAGAGUUUUUGUGUCAAGAUGGAUUCUAGAAGUUUCUGGAACUUUCUGACGGCGAAGAAGAAGGAUUUGGAUUCGCUUAGGCUGGAAAUCCCGAAAGCGUUGGAGGAAUGUGUGGAUCCGCCGAGGUUUGUGUUGGAAUCGAUAUCGGAGGUGUUUCCGGAGGAUAAGAGGGAAGAGAGGAAUGAAAGGAACAAUGAUUUGGGGUGGGCUUGUGUUUUGAUGUUGGAAUCGUUGAUUCCGGUGAUGAUGGAUCCUGUUUUGGGUAAUGAGAGGAAAUUGGUGACUCCAAGUGUGAAGGAUAAGGCUAAUGAGAUUGCGGAGAUUUGGAAGAAGAGUUUGGAUGAAAGAGGUGGGAUUGAGAAUGUGAAGACACCAGAUGUGCAU